rnacentral:rRNA from 1 species
AUUGAACGCUGGCGGCAGGCCUAACACAUGCAAGUCGAACGAGUGGCGGACGGGUGAGUAAUGUCUGGGAAACUGCCUGAUGGAGGGGGAUAACUACUGGAAACGGUAGCUAAUACCGCAUACCAUCAGAUGUGCCCAGAUGGGAUUAGCUUGUUGGUGGGGUAACGGCUCACCAAGGCGACGAUCCCUAGCUGGGCUGAGAGGAUGACCGGCCACACUGGAACUGAGACACGGUCCAGACUCCUACGGGAGGCAGCAGUGGGGAAUAUUGCGCAAUGGACGAAAGCCUGAUGCAGCAAUGCCGCGUGAAUGAAGAAGGUCUUCGGGUUGUAAAGUACUGUCAGCGGGGAGGCGGUACCCGAAGAGGAAGCAACGGCUAACUCCGUGCCAGCCGCCGCGGUAAUAC